GAAUUAUUGGGCGUAAAGAGCUCGUAGGCGGUUUGUCGCGUCUGCUGUGAAAACUGGAGGCUCAACCUCCAGCCUGCAGUGGGUACGGGCAGACUAGAGUGCGGUAGGGGAGAUUGGAAUUCCUGGUGUAGCGGUGGAAUGCGCAGAUAUCAGGAGGAACACCGAUGGCGAAGGCAGAUCUCUGGGCCGUAACUGACGCUGAGGAGCGAAAGCAUGGGGAGCGAACAGGAUUAGAUACCCUGGUAGUCCAUGCCGUAAACGUUGGGAACUAGAUGUGGGGGCCAUUCCACGGUCUCCGUGUCGCAGCUAACGCAUUAAGUUCCCCGCCUGGGGAGUACGGCCGCAAGGCUAAAACUCAAAGGAAUUGACGGGGGCCCGCACAAGCGGCGGAGCAUGCGGAUUAAUUCGAUGCAACGCGAAGAACCUUACCAAGGCUUGACAUAUACGAGAACGGGCCAGAAAUGGUCAACUCUUUGGACACUCGUAAACAGGUGGUGCAUGGUUGUCGUCAGCUCGUGUCGUGAGAUGUUGGGUUAAGUCCCGCAACGAGCGCAACCCUCGUUCUAUGUUGCCAGCACGUUAUGGUGGGAACUCAUAGGAGACUGCCGGGGUCAACUCGGAGGAAGGUGGGGAUGACGUCAAAUCAUCAUGCCCCUUAUGUCUUGGGCUUCACGCAUGCUACAAUGGCCGGUACAAAGGGCUGCGAUACCGUAAGGUGGAGCGAAUCCCAAAAAGCCGGUCUCAGUUCGGAUUGAGGUCUGCAACUCGACCUCAUGAAGUCGGAGUCGCUAGUAAUCGCAGAUCAGCAACGCUGCGGUGAAUACGUUCCCGGGCCUUGUACACACCGCCCGUCAAGUCAUGAAAGUCGGUAACACCCAACGCCAGUGGCCUAACUUCGGGAGGGAGCUGUCUAAGGU
rnacentral:rRNA from 1 species